rnacentral:rRNA from 1 species
AGCCUGAUGCAGCCAUGCCGCGUGUGUGAAGAAGGCCUUCGGGUUGUAAAGCACUUUCAGUGAGGAGGAAGGAGGAAGCGUUAAUAGCGUUUUCUUUUGACGUUACUCACAGAAGAAGCACCGGCUAACUCCGUGCCAGCAGCCGCGGUAAUACGGGGGGUGCAAGCGUUAAUCGGAAUGACUGGGCGUAAAGGGCACGCAGGCGGUUGAUUAAGUUAGAUGUGAAAUCCCCGGGCUUAACCUGGGAACUGCAUUUAAAACUGGUCAGCUAGAGUCUUGUAGAGGGGGGUAGAAUUCCACGUGUAGCGGUGAAAUGCGUAGAGAUGUGGAGGAAUACCGGUGGCGAAGGCGGCCCCCUGGACAAAGACUGACGCUCAGGUGCGAAAGCGUGGGGAGCAAACAGGAUUAGAUACCCUGGUAGUCCACGCGGUAAACGAUGUCGAUUUAGAGGUUGUUCCCAUGAGGAGUGGCUUUUGUAGCUAACGCGUUAAAUCGACCGCCUGGGGAGUACGGCCGCAAGGUUAAAACUCAAAUGAAUUGACGGGGGCCCGCACAAGCGGUGGAGCAUGUGGUUUAAUUCGAUGCAACGCGAAGAACCUUACCUACUCUUGACAUCCAGCGAAGUUGGCAGAGAU